UGCCUACGGGGGGCAGCAGUGGGGAAUAUUGGACAAUGGGCGCAAGCCUGAUCCAGCCAUGCCGCGUGAGUGAUGAAGGCCUUAGGGUUGUAAAGCUCUUUUGUCCGGGAAGAUAAUGACUGUACCGGAAGAAUAAGCCCCGGCUAACUUCGUGCCAGCAGCCGCGGUAAUACGAAGGGGGCUAGCGUUGUUCGGAAUCACUGGGCGUAAAGCGCACGUAGGCGGACCAUUAAGUCAGGGGUGAAAGCCUGGAGCUCAACUCCAGAACUGCCUUUGAUACUGAUGGUCUCGAGUAUGGAAGAGGUUGGUGGAACUGCGAGUGUAGAGGUGAAAUUCGUAGAUAUUCGCAAGAACACCAGUGGCGAAGGCGGCCAACUGGUCCAUUACUGACGCUGAGGUGCGAAAGCGUGGGGAGCAAACAGGAUUAGAUACCCGAGUAGUCCAU
rnacentral:rRNA from 2 species